rnacentral:rRNA from 1 species
GAUGAACGCUGGCGGCGUGCCUAAUACAUGCAAGUCGAGCGAACGGACGAGAAGCUUGCUUCUCUGAUGUUAGCGGCGGACGGGUGAGUAACACGUGGAUAACCUACCUAUAAGACUGGGAUAACUUCGGGAAACCGUAGCUAAUACCGGAUAAUAUUUUGAACCGCAUGGUUCAAAAGUGAAAGACGGUCUUGCUGUCACUUAUAGAUGGAUCCGCGCUGCAUUAGCUAGUUGGUAAGGUAACGGCUUACCAAGGCAACGAUGCAUAGCCGACCUGAGAGGGUGAUCGGCCACACUGGAACUGAGACACGGUCCAGACUCCGACGGGAGGCAGCAGUAGGGAAUCUUCCGCAAUGGGCGAAAGCCUGACGGAGCAACGCCGCGUGAGUGAUGAAGGUCUUCGGAUCGUAAAACUCUGUUAUUAGGGAAGAACAUAUGUGUAAGUAACUGUGCACAUCUUGACGGGACCUAAUCAGAAAGCCACGGCUAACUACGU